rnacentral:misc_RNA from 1 species
GGGAAGCAUCAUUGGAAUUAGUAGAAAAUGAUAAGUAGCAGAAGUUUCAUUUGGAUAUCAAAAUUCUAAAAGACUAAUUUGCCUUCAAAACGAAAAUGAAAAUAUCAUUUCUAAAACUCCACUGUACUUUAGAAAUAUAGUUUGAGGGUCUGGAUCAGUAAUUUUUUUCCCCUUGUACACACAUCACUGAGUUGAUAAUUUUGCUUUCAGCCUUCACUCAAAAAUGAACUGCGGCAAUGAAAUCAGAUAAAUGGCGCCUAACAAAAACCUGAACCAGAUAUUCAUGAAACACAUAUAACUAUAGAAAUUCUACAAGUUUUACUCAAGAAAAGGUACUUUUACUAAGCUCAUCUGU